GAGAAGCUUGCUUCUCUGAUGUUAGCGGCGGACGGGUGAGUAACACGUGGAUAACCUACCUAUAAGACUGGGAUAACUUCGGGAAACCGGAGCUAAUACCGGAUAAUAUUUUGAACCGCAUGGUUCAAAAGUGAAAGACGGUCUUGCUGUCACUUAUAGAUGGAUCCGCGCUGCAUUAGCUAGUUGGUAAGGUAACGGCUUACCAAGGCAACGAUGCAUAGCCGACCUGAGAGGGUGAUCGGCCACACUGGAACUGAGACACGGUCCAGACUCCUACGGGAGGCAGCAGUAGGGAAUCUUCCGCAAUGGGCGAAAGCCUGACGGAGCAACGCCGCGUGAGUGAUGAAGGUCUUCGGAUCGUAAAACUCUGUUAUUAGGGAAGAACAUAUGUGUAAGUAACUGUGCACAUCUUGACGGUACCUAAUCAGAAAGCCACGGCUAACUACGUGCCAGCAGCCGCGGUAAUACGUAGGUGGCAAGCGUUAUCCGGAAUUAUUGGGCGUAAAGCGCGCGUAGGCGGUUUUUUAAGUCUGAUGUGAAAGCCCACGGCUCAACCGUGGAGGGUCAUUGGAAACUGGAAAACUUGAGUGCAGAAGAGGAAAGUGGAAUU
rnacentral:rRNA from 1 species